UUGGUUGGUUUGUUUAUUCUUAUUCUCUUAUGCAAUUAUUGUAAUUCUUAAACAUAUGGAAUCUGACAUUUUUACUGAAGAUGUAUUAUGUUUUUUUAAAUUGAUGAACUUACUCUGUAAUGCACUGAUCAUUUGGCAUGAAACCUUUUUAUUUCCACAGCAACAUCAAGUGGAAUUUCACUAAGUUCCUCAUCAACAGAGAAGGUCAGGUUGUGAAGAGGUAUGGACCGGCGGAAUAUG